rnacentral:rRNA from 1 species
GAUCCUGGCUCAGGACGAACGCUGGCGGCGUGCUUAACACAUGCAAGUCGAACGAAGCACUUUGAAGGAAUUCUUCGGAAGGAAUUCAACUUGACUUAGUGGCGGACGGGUGAGUAACGCGUGAGCAACCUGCCUACAAGAGGGGGACAACAGUUGGAAACGACUGCUAAUACCGCAUAAGACCACGCUAUCGCAUGGUAGAGAGGUCAAAGAUUUAUCGCUUGUAGAUGGGCUCGCGU